UACGAAGGGUGCAAGCGUUAAUCGGAAUUACUGGGCGUAAAGGGUGCGUAGGCGGUUGUUUAAGUCUGUCGUGAAAUCCCCGGGCUCAACCUGGGAAUGGCGAUGGAUACUGGACAGCUAGAGUGUGUCAGAGGAUGGUGGAAUUCCCGGUGUAGCGGUGAAAUGCGUAGAGAUCCGGAAGAACACCAGUGGCGAAGGCGGCCCGCUGGGCAGUGGCUGACGCUGAGGCGGCGACAGCGUGGGGAGCAACAGG
rnacentral:rRNA from 1 species